AGAGUUUGAUCCUGGCUCAGAACGAACGCUGACGGCGGGCCUCAUACAUGCAAGUCGAGCGCGAAAGUCCGCAAGGAUGAGUAAAGCGGCGCACGGGUGAGUAACACGUGGGUAAUCUACCUCGAGGAUUGGAAUAACACGUCGAAAGAUGUGCUAAUGCCAAGUAAGCUUCCGAAGUUAUAAUGACUUUGGUCGGAAAGCUGGCGCAAGCAAGCGCCUUGAGAUGAGCCUGCGUUCCAUUAGUUAGUUGGUGAGGUAAUGGCUUACCAAGACUACGAUGGAUAACUGGUCUGAGAGGAUGAUCAGUCACACUGGAACUGAAACACGGUCCAGACUCCUACGGGAGGCAGCAGUAGGGAAUAUUGCGCAAUGGGGGAAACCCUGACGCAGCCACGCCGUGUGAGUGAGGAAGGCCUUCGGGUUGUAAAGCUCUGUCAUCGGGGAAGAAACUCUAUCUGGGGAAAGUUCAGGUAGAUUGACGGUACCCGAGAAGGAAGCACCGGCUAACUCUGUGCCAGCAGCCGCGGUAAUACAGAGGGUGCAAGCGUUGUUCGGAAUUACUGGGCGUAAAGCGUUUGUAGGCGGUGCUGAGAGUCCUAGGUGAAAUCCCCGAGCUCAACUCGGGAACUGCCUAGGAGACCUCAGUACUAGAGUACUGAAGGGGUUACUGGAAUUCCAUGUGUAGCGGUGAAAUGCGUAGAUAUAUGGAGGAACACCUGUGGCGAAGGCGGGUAACUGGUCAGAGACUGACGCUGAGAAACGAAAGCGUGGGGAGCAAACAGGAUUAGAUACCCUGGUAGUCCACGCCGUAAACGAUGCAUACAAGUCGUAGCUGGGAUUGACUCCGGCUGUGACGAAGCUAACGCAAGUAGUAUGCCGCCUGGGGAGUACGGUCGCAAGACUAAAACUCAAAGGAAUUGACGGGGGCCCGCACAAGCGGUGGAUUAUGUGGUUCAAUUCGAAACCACGCGAAAAACCUUACCUGGAUUUGACAUGUCACGACAACCGGAGAAAUCCGGCUUUCUCGCAAGAGACGUGAACACAGGUGCUGCAUGGCUGUCGUCAGCUCGUGUUGUGAAAUGUUGGGUUAAGUCCCGCAACGAGCGCAACCCCUGCGGUUAGUUGCCAGCAUUAAGUUGGGCACUCUAAUCGGACUGCCGGCGUUAAGCCGGAGGAAGGUGGGGACGACGUCAAGUCCUCAUGGCCCUUACAUCCAGGGCUACACACGUAAUACAAUGGGUAGGACAAAGGGUUGCCAACCAGCAAUGGGGAGCUAAUCUCAAAAACCUGCCCUCAGUUCGGAUUGGAGGCUGCAAUUCGCCUCCAUGAAGGUGGAAUCGCUAGUAAUCGUAGAUCAGAACGCUACGGUGAAUACGUUCCCGGGCCUUGUACACACCGCCCGUCACACCAUGGGAGUUGGUUUCACCAGAAGUCGCUAAUGCCAACCGCAAGGGGGCAAGCGCCAAAGGUGGGGCUGAUGACUGGGGUGAAGUCGUAACAAGGUAGCCGUAGGGGAACCUGCGGCUG
rnacentral:rRNA from 1 species